rnacentral:rRNA from 1 species
AUGGAGGACACCCUCUUGGUCCAAGAAGGAAGCGAUGAGCCUACCGGUCCGGGCGUCAUUCUCAGCAAGGAAGACCAGGCCAGAUAUGCUAAAGUUUUGCGUCCCAAUAUUCCUCCGCCUAUUGACCCGAACUCUUAUAUGGCAUUUGAGGACUACGACGAGAUAGAAGAGCGCCUUGCACGCCUUCGCAUCGUUUAUUACAAGAUUGUGAAGCCAGUGGCUGCACAUGAACUAAAGGAACCAGAAGAGUACACUGAGGAUGAACUUAUUAAGGAGUCCUACUUUCGGCAUUUGGAGGAUGAUGAUAGUUUUGAGUGGUUCUUCCAUUGCGACGAUAGCCAGAAUCCUAGAUUGAAUGACUACCAACGCAUUGUCCUUAGUAAUUUCCUGCCCGAUAGUUGUGAACGCCAGUAUCGCUAUCACGAUGAUUACCGCUCACGUUAUCAUACAUAUGAACUUGAUUCCGUUUACGUCAAGUACUAUGGAGAAAUAUCAAAGAAAUUGAAGUGGGUUGCAGAUUAUGUACAUCUGGAUCGCAGUACCGAGAAGGUAAGUAUGCCCCACAGGAAAUCACGAAAUAUAGGUAUAUUAGUCAUAUACACAUACACAUGA